UACGUAGGGGGCAAGCGUUGUCCGGAAUCAUUGGGCAUAAAGCGCGUGUAGGCGGUUCGAUAAGUCUGCUGUGAAAGUCCAGGGCUCAACCCUGGAAAGCCGGUGGAUACUGUCGGACUAGAGUGCGGAAGAGGCGAGUGGAAUUCCCGGUGUAGCGGUGAAAUGCGUAGAUAUCCGGAGGAACACCGGUGGCGAAGGCGGCUUCCUGGACCGACACUGACGCUGAGGCGCGAAAGCUAGGGGAGCAAACGGG
rnacentral:rRNA from 1 species